UUUUAUGAAAGACUGCUUCUCUAAUUUCCAAAUAGAGUCAAAUUCACUGUUAUGUAGUUCACACAUACAAGGGAAGGUUUUGAAACAAGCAAAUUUAUACUUCUCUACUGUGAUUGGAUUAUAAUUGCUUGCUUUCUUUACUUAUUUAUUUGUUUGUUUGUUUGUUUAUUUAUUUAUUUUUGGAGCGAGAGAGAAUCUUAAGCAGGCUCCACACCCAGUGUGGAAGCCAACGUAGGGCUUUAUCUGAGGACUCUGUGUUCAUGAUCUGAGCUGAAAUCAAGAGUCUGAUGCUUAACCAGCACAUUGCUAGACCACAAUCACAUUUGUGUUUACUUGGAGCCAAAUAACUCCUACCAAAGGAAUGUGAGUGAAAGGGUUGUGUUAUCAACUCAUGGAGUGAAAAGAGGGAAAGAGCAAGCCUGCCAGCUGGAGAGCAGAGGGGCAGGCAGGGAGGGAGGAAGAAAACCCAAGCAGGCUCCACACCUAGCAUGGAGCCCAACAUGGGGCUCAAUCUCAUACCCUGAGAUCAUAAUCUGAGUUGAUAUUGAGAGUCACUUAACUGACUAAGCCACCCAGCUGUCCCUGCUCUUAUAUUUUCAUAAUGCAAAGCUACUAGCUACUCUCAAGAAAUAAAACAGAGAAAGAACUUCCAUUAGUCACUGUAAAAAAGGAGUUACACACACAUAUGGAUGUAUCAAAAGUAUGUUCUUGAUGCUCAGAUGACUCAUUAACAUAUUUUUUAUCUUCCACAAUAUCUACAAACUUUGCAUUAACUCUGUGGGACCCAGGAUAUUUAACAAAAAUCCCCUACCCCUGGACAAGCAGAGCAGGAACUCCAUUUUGUGCUGCACCCGCCACCUCCUGUAUGACCCCCACAUGACCUGCUUAUUGCUUAAGGCGCUGCCCCACCCUAGUCAAGCUGCUGAGCACACCCUUAUCGGAAAUCCGUUCAUAACAAUGUAACCCCGCCUUGUGCCCUCAAGACUGUGUGCCAAUUCUGACCAGAGUGAUAGGCCAGCUCAAAUGGUCACUAUAGGGUUAAUUGUGAUUCAAUUGGCCACGCGUGCAGACCUACAUGACUGUGCAACUUUCUAUGUGUGUUACAAUCCCAUUGGCCACUGGCCCCUAUAACGCUGCUACCCCUCUUAGCCUCGGGAUUCAAGUCCCUGCUCAGCUGUGUCGGGUAUACUUGGACCCAAGCUCCAGCUUGUAAAUAAGCCCUCCUGUGUUUGCAUCGGUGUCGGCUCCUUGGUGGUUUCUCGGAUUCGCAAUCUUGGGCACAACAAACUUUAGGCCCAAUCUUGUGGAAUACUAUUUUUUUUUUCUGUUUACUCUUUACUCUCAAUACAGCGUUCAUAUACUGUAUUAGUUGAGGUUAAGCAGUUUAUGACUGCCAUUCAUUUUUGGAUCUCCAUGGUGAAGCUUGUUAAUAAAAAUAUUCUAUUUCAUUACAUGCAUAGGAAAAUAAAAUAUGCUCAAUUCAAUUCAGUUACAUAGGUUCAACUCAAAAGUUUAAAAUAUAACCCAUCUCCUCAGUUUUGAUUCCUGAUUAACUAGAAAAUUGGCCCUCUUCAUACAAUUCUUUCUUCAUACAUUUUGUAUUAAAAUUUCACAACAAAAACUAGUUUUAAAAUAAAGGAACACUUAUCAUCAUGAAUUUUAUGUAGUAGCAAAAUAAUAACAACAAUAAUAAUAAUAAAAUGUGGCAGUUUCCAUGUACAUACAUAUUUCAAGUAGAAUAAAAGUAUGGAGUUUGAAUUUGAAAACCAAAAUUAGUAUCACUUUUGUCACUUGUUUAUGUAACCAAGAAGCAAGUCUUUAUUUUUUAUUUUUAUUUUUUUUUUAGAAGCAAGCCUUUAAUCAUUACUUAACCCUCAGUGUCUUCAUCUGCAAAGUGUAUGAUUUGUUACAGUUCAGGCAUAAAGAUUUGUUAUAAACUGUUCAAGGAAUAUAUACUAAACUGUGACUCUUGAUCUGUGUAUUUUCUAUUCCGUAAAGUAUUGCUUUACUAUGAUUUCACUCUAAUAUAAAAUGACCACAUUAUAAUUUUUUUAUUUUGAAUUUUACAAUAAAUGUGUCUAUACUUAUGGAACAUUCUAAAUAAGACAAAAUAGCAAAAAUAUUUAAAAUGCUUAAGCAAGAUUAUGUCAUGAAAUGAAAGGCAUUAUUCCAUGCAAUACUCAUUCACAUGCAACUAACUACUCAUUCAACAUUCACAAAUUAUAUAAGGUAGAUGUUUCUAUCAUCUUCAUUUAACAAAUGGAGAAACCAAGGAAAGGAAUGUUUUAAUAUACUUGCAUGACUAAUAACCAUCAAAAACAGUUUGAUGCACCACCAGUUUGCACUCAGAUUCUAUGCUCUUGGCAACACCAUUUCACACAUUUCACUCAUAAUUAUUAAUAAUUGUUUUAUUUAUAUAAAUAGGUAGGUCUAGAAAAAAUAAAGUACAACUCUUUAAACCUUUUGACUACCCAAAUGAGAGAGGAAAAUAACUAUUCUUUGCCUGAAUGAGUAUUUUAUUUUACAUAGCCAGUGCCAAUUUUAAUAGCUUCAUAAAAAUGUAAUUGUUAAAAAAAUAAAAUGUUCUAAGUAUUGGUUUAUUUGAACUAGUAACUGCAAACAUCGUCUUUUAGUUGUACACCACAUUACCCUUUCAAUACAUAUACAUCCUAUUUGAAAUUGAAUUUGCUAUGGUAAUUAAACAUCAAUUCUGAAUUUUAAAAUAGAUCAUAUAAUAAAAUUUUCACACAGAUAGGGUCUUCAAGAUGAUUCUGCAAAACUGUUCUGCUUUUAAAUAAAAUAAACAAUUCAUGAUAUUAAAACAGAACACAUCAUGAAACAAUUUUACUCCACUUUUUCUGCCAUACUUAUAUUUAAAACUAUGUUAUGAUAUAAAGAGAAGAGAUUCACAAGAAGAGACUACUGGUAAUAAAUUUUCUUCUGUAGAAGGGAUGCAAUAAUGUGUUGUUUAAAUACAGCAUUAACAUUCUAUGAUUUGGGACUAAGCCAAUAAUUUUCUGCCAGAUGAAACAAAGAAAAAAAGCCAAUACUGUUUUUCCUUUUGGAGUUUUGUUUUUAUUUGCUGAUUGUAUGCAUGAGGUGACAAAACAUGCUUUUAAGGACUUUGUUAGCUCAUUAAGCAUAGACUGUUAUUGUAAAUCAGUUAGAAACCUUUAAAUAUAAAA